UGGAAAUUAGGGCUAUGGCAACGCCUUCCUCUGCAACGGUUAUACAACCGUUGCUGUAACCGAGGUACUGCAACGGUUAUACCCGUUGCACAAGGACAGAAUGCUAUAGCUACACUUUAGCGUCUAAACCGUUGCAAUUGUAUCUAAACCGUCACCAUACAUGUCCCUAAUGGGACGAUUUUCUUUAACCGUUGCAAUAGUUGUAAUAUGGAAACAGUUUUGUUUCUAUUGCAACGGUUUUAAAUUCCCUCCCAAAUUUUCCUUAUUUUCACUGUAGCCCGCCUAAUAGAGAGACCACAUUAUUUUUCCUUUUAGCCAAAAAUCGUAAAAUCUGUAUUGAACCAAAUUAAACACUGAACUCUCUCUCUCUACUAAAUUCAUCACCCACCUCACUCUAUCUCUCUCUACAAAUUUCUACUUCACUUUGCACCCUAAUUAUCAAUGCUCUACUGAAUCUCGUAGCCGGGUUCUCAAUUCCAAGUUAUCUUCUCUAUUCUCUCAUCUCUUUUUUUUUGGAUUUAUUUUGCAUGUUCUUCCAAUUCUAAAAUAAAAUCAUUUGUGGUAUGGGUUUUGAUUUUUUUUUUUUUUUUUGAAUAAGUAUGGGCUCGAUUUCUUGAUAUUCCUUUUUUUUUUUUUGUCUCAAUAUUUUUAAAAUAUCUGGUUGCUUAUUUUGUUGUUGUAAGAAUUGGGUGGAAUUACUUCGAUUUAGUAAAUAUCUAGCAGAAAGGUGUGAGCUUUCUUUUUUCAAAGUUAAUGCCGUGUCUAAUGUUGGAUUGUUCGAUUUUGUUGUAUAAAAUGAGCUUGUGAGACACGAUUUUUUCUCUCAAGAAUCUAACAAAAAUUAGGUUUUCUUUGCUCUUGGAAUUUCCUUUCUUUUGCUUCUCAUUUGUGUUUGUUUAUUCUUGUUCUAAACUCGUUGUCCAUGGUGAAAGCUUGAAGCAUUGUCAACUCUCAAACGCCUCAAUUCGUUGCUCGUCGAAAGGUGUCGAAAAUGAAGAAAGGGACGAGACAAUGAAGACAUUGAUCUUACUUGAGAAGAUCUUUUAUGAAGAUUUCUACAUGUUCUAAGAAUCUUUUUGCUAUCGAACAUUUUGAAACUUAUCCUAAAUCUUGAAAUGUAAAACUUAAUUAUGCAUUUUGGGUUGAACAUUUUGCUUUUA